AGGCUGCUAGUUGUCCGGGUUUCGCAAGUUUGCCCUCUGGUUUUACUGUUAAAGAGAGGCCAUUGUAACUGAGAACUAGCUUUGAAUAUAGCUGCUGCUACAUCUUUCCAGGCUUAUGAGAUAAUCCUCUUUUAGGUACCCAGGUAUUUAGUAUCUGUCUUUCAAAGGGAUGUAACUCUCACCUACUUCUCCAGAACCAAGUCUACAUGAGGCCAUGUGCCUGCUGCCACGCUUCACACCUGGAUGAUAAUGGACUCACCUCUGGAUCUGUAAACAAGCCCCCAAAUUAUAUGCUUUCUUUUAUAAGAAUUGCUUUGGCUAUGGUGUUCUUCACAGCAAUAAAAUAGCGAGGAAGACAGAAGUUGAUACCAGGAAACUGAGUAUUGCUGUGACAGGCAUGACCAUGCUGUAUAUUGGUGGAAUGUGAACUUUGGACUAGAAAAGUGACUGAGUGGUUUAAGUCAGGAUUUUAUGGGCAAUACUAGUAGCAAGGACCCUUGUAUUGGGAAAAUGUAGACAAGUGGGAGACCAGAACAGGAAGUUGCAGAGGGAGAAAUUAUACAAAGUGAAUACAAAGCAACCUAGUGACCAUUCUUGAUGUAUUUCAGCAAAGACGUGGCUGCUUUUGCCCAUGUCCUGAAAAUCUGCCCGAGUUUUUGAUUAAUGAUGGCAGAGGAGAUGUCAAUUUUGACACUAAGUGGAAUAAAAAGAGCAGUAACCUCAAGUAAGACCCCACCCAGUUAAAGUUCCAACUUGUAAAAGGGAAUUAAAGAAGUUUAAGCAGUGAAGGAAACUAUCAAGAAGGGAAAGCUGAUGCAAAUGUAAAUGAAUCAGAGGGCCAAGUUCCAGGCCAGCAAGCAGCUGGACUUGGCAGCUUCAGCCAAGUGGUUCUGGCCUUAGAGUCAAGGAAAUCAAGAGACCAAGUCCUUAAAAUAUACAACGGAAUGGCUCUUCCCCAACUGGCUAAGAAAAGGUGCUGAGUCCAGGCAAGUGCUGUGGGUGUUGAGGACCCAGGUGUCCAUGCAGUGAUCCAUGAAGAAAUGAGAAUGAAACCUUGGUUCAGAUAGACUUCGUCAACCUAGAUUAGACUUCGGGGAGUUUAAUUUUAGGCCAUUCAUUGUCAGCAUAUUAAAACAGUACAAUUUGGGAAAAUUACUAAAUAUUUUCCCUUUAAGUAAAUUAUUUUAUUCUUUUUUGGAAGAGUUACUUAGUUUUAUUUUAUUUGGAAGGAUGAAUAAAUAGUAGAAAAUGUAUCUAAUACAUUUUGUAAGGAAUAUUGAAAUUAUUCAAAAUAAAAUAUCUGGUUGUGUGAUUUGU
rnacentral:lncRNA from 1 species